UACAGAGGUCUCAAGCGUUGUUCGGAUUCACUGGGCGUAAAGGGUGCGAAGGAGGUCAGGUCAGUCGGGUGUGAAAUCCCGCCGCUCAACGGCGGAACUGCAUUCGAUACUACUUGGCUAGAGGACCGGAGAGGUCACUGGAAUUCUCGGUGUAGCAGUGAAAUGCGUAGAUAUCGAGAGGAACACCAAUGGCGAAAGCAAGUGGCUGGAAGGUUCCUGACUCUGAGGCACGAAAGCUAGGGGAGCAAACAGG
rnacentral:rRNA from 1 species